AACUCUAAGUAAUAACUUAAAGCUACGCCUGCUCCAUGACAUAAAUAGCCGCAGUUCAACUGUGCUAAGGUAGCAUAAUCAUUAGCCCUUUAAUUGAGGGAUAGAAUGAACGGCCCCACGAAUUGUUACCUGUCUCAGGCGUACAUAAUUAACCUCACCUAAAAGUAAAAAGGCUUUUUUAAAAUAAUAAGACGAUAAGACCCUGUCAAACUUCUUACCUAUAGUUAAACUGGGGCGGUUAAAUAAUUACACCUUAUAUACUCUACACAAACACAACCGAACCCUUCGACCACGAAUCAAGUUACUGUAGGGAUAACAGCGCAAUACUUUUCUAGAGAUCUAAUCUAAAAAAGACCUUACGACCUCGAUGUUGAAUUAAAUCCCUCUUUCACGCAAGAGUUAAAGAAGGAAGUCUGUUCGACUUU
rnacentral:rRNA from 1 species